rnacentral:rRNA from 1 species
UACGUAGGGUGCGAGCGUUGUCCGGAAUUACUGGGCGUAAAGAGCUCGUAGGUGGUUUGUCGCGUUGUCCGUGAAAACUCACAACUCAAUUGUGGGCGUGCGGGCGAUACGGGCAGACUGGAGUACUGCAGGGGAGACUGGAAUUCCUGGUGUAGCGGUGGAAUGCGCAGAUAUCAGGAGGAACACCGGUGGCGAAGGCGGGUCUCUGGGCAGUAACUGACGCUGAGGAGCGAAAAGCGUGGGGGAGCGAAACGGAUUAGAACCUACGUAGUCAGUCCAAGA